UACGUAGGUGGCAAGCGUUAUCCGGAAUUACUGGGCGUAAAGCGCACGCAGGCGGUCUUUUAAGUUUGACGUGAAAGCUCCCGGCUUAACUGGGAGAGGUCGUUGAAGACUGGAAGACUUGAGGCAAUGAGAGGGGUGUAGAAUUCCCGGUGUAGUGGUGGAAUGCGUAGAUAUCGGGGGGAAUACCAGUGGCGAAAGCGGCACCCUAGCAUUAGCCUGACGCUCAGGUGCGAAAGCGUGGGGAGCGAACGGG
rnacentral:rRNA from 1 species